rnacentral:lncRNA from 1 species
GUUUGAUCUCAGACUGCUGUGCUAGCAAUCAGCGAGACUCCGUGGGCGUAGGACCCUCCUAGCCAGAUACAAAAAGAAAAAUUACUGUCAUGUGAUGUGUGAUCCAUGAUACCGUCAUAGUUUUGUUCCAAGACCAUCCUCAAGGAGUUUAAUGAAUGUGGCAUCACAAGAAAAAUAUGCAUCAACAUUGAAAAGAAAAGAAAUAAAAUUCCAUUAACAGAGCUUGAGGAAGUGGACUUGACUAAGCUGGAGUAAGGAGUGCAGAGAGUGAGGAGACAGGAUGCGAAACAAGAGUCACCCUAUCCCUCAUUUAUCUCCUGAACAAUACCAUGGAUCUCCUUCAGCCUGCCAGAUCCCUCUGCAGAGCCCCUCUCCCACAGAACACAUCAGCCUAAGAGUGUUGAUUUAUAACCCCAUUGUGCACCCUUCCUUAAGCAAUGGUCCCGUGUCUC